GCCAGGUGUGGUGGUGCAUGCCUGUAGUCCCAGUUACUUGGGAGGCUGAGGUUGGAGGAUCACUUGAGCCCAGGAGGUCAAGGCUGCAGUGAGCUGUGAUUGUACCACUGCAUUCCAGCCUGGGCAACAGAAUGAGACCCCAUCUCAA
rnacentral:SRP_RNA from 1 species